rnacentral:lncRNA from 1 species
CCUCUCUCUGUUAGACUGAUAAUUUUUCAGCCUCCUUUAUUUUUUAAGAUUUGCCAUGCAGAUCAAAAUCAGGUCUCUAGGCUUGGCAAUGCCUUUGCACACUGAGCCAUCUUGCUUGUCCACUGAACAACAAUUAUUUAACUUUUUUUGUUUUUUAAAAUGCUGGGCUGGAGAGAUGGCUCAGCGGUUAACAGCAGCUGCUCUUCAGGAUGCCCCGGGCUCUACUCUCAGCACUCAUAGUGGUUCACCAUCUGUAAUUCCAGUUCAUAGGGUGUGAUGCCUUCUCCUGGCCUCCGAGGACACCAGCUACUCCAUGAAGCACCAGUUAAUGCUAUGGAAGCUUCAAGAUCAAGUUGUAACACGGUGAUGACACAGUGAUGAUACGUUGAUGACACUCCAC